UAAGUAUUUUUUCCAGAAAUUUCUUAAAUGUUUUCAAUACUUAUUUUUUAUCCAAAAUACAAAUGGAAUCUAACCAUAUAUACUGUUCUAUAACUUACUGGAUUUUUAAAACAAUCUUUUCUUGGCAUCUUUCCAUUUCAGUAGCUUUUUCUGUUCUGUAAAGUAUAAUACUGUACAGAAAGGGGAGCAUAAAUUAAAUACAUAACUUGGUGAACUUACAAAUAAAGUGUCUUCUAAUCAGCAAAGAUCAAAAAUCAAAACAUUCUCAGUGUCAUGGGCCAGCCCUACCUCAUGGAAAAAAAAAAGUACAUAUUUAAAAGUGGGUUUCUGCCCGGCCGAGGCUCCCGAGGUGCAUCAGUCCACCAGUACAUGAGUUUCUGCCGUUUCUUGGCAAAAAUGGCAACCAGUGAUGCUGUUCUGAAGAGAUUGGAGCAGAAGGGUGCAGAAGCAGAUCAAAUUAUUGAAUAUCUUAAGCAACAAGUUGCUCUUCUUAAGGAGAAAGCAAUUUUGCAGGCAACUUUGAGAGAAGAGAAGAAACUUCGAGUUGAAAAUGCUAAAUUGAAGAAGGAAAUUGAAGGAUUGAAACAAGAGCUAAUUAAGGCAGAAAUUCAAAAUGGAGUAAAACAAAUACCAUUUCCAUCUGGUACUCCACUAAAAACUGAUUCUAUGGUUUCUGAAAAUGAGAUACAGUCUAUACCAAUAACCGUAUCUUCUGGUGCUAAAGAGCAAGUAAAAGGAGGAGGAGGAGAAGAAGAAAAGAAGAUGAAAGAGAAAACUGAAAAGAAAGGAGAGAAAAAGGAGAAAAAACAGCAACCAGUAGCAGGAAGUGCUGACUCUAAGCCUGUUGAUGUUUCCCGUCUGGAUCUUCGAAUUGGUUGUAUCAUCACUGCCAGAAAACACCCUGAUGCAGAUUCUUUGUAUGUAGAAGAAGUAGAUGUUGGAGAAACAGCCCCAAGAACAGUGGUCAGUGGCCUGGUGAAUCAUGUUCCUCUUGAACAGAUGCAAAAUCGGAUGGUGGUUUUACUUUGUAACCUGAAACCUGCAAAGAUGAGGGGAGUAGUAUCUCAGGCAAUGGUGAUGUGUGCAAGUUCACCAGAGAAAGUAGAAAUCUUGGCACCUCCUAAUGGAUCUGUUCCUGGGGACAGAAUUACUUUUGAUGCUUUCCCUGGAGAGCCUGACAAGGAGCUGAAUCCUAAGAAGAAGAUUUGGGAGCAGAUCCAGCCUGAUCUUUACACUAAUGAUGUAUGCGUGGCUACAUACAAAGGCGCUCCCUUUGAGGUGAAAGGGAAGGGAGUGUGUAGGGCUCAAACUAUGGCCAACAGUGGAAUAAAAUAAAACACUUCAGUUUCUGAAAUACUUUAGAGAAAGCAAUAAAAAGAAAUACAUUUGUCACUCAUACCUAAAA